GAUGAAGAACGUAGCAAAAUGCGAUAAGUAAUGCGAAUUGCAGAAUCCGUGAGUCAUCGAAUCUUUGAACGCACAUUGCGCCCUUUGGUAUUCCGAAGGGCAUGCCUGUUCGAGCGUCAUUAUCACCCCUCAAGCCCCGGCUUGGUGUUGGGCUCUCGGUGGUCGUCUCCGACCACCCGUCUCAAAGAUAGUGACGGCGUCCCAGAGGGAAUCGGUACGAGGAGCUUUCACGAGCAUGUACGCGGGACGACUCUGCGGGCGACGGUCUUAUUUACUUUAUAUACAAGUGUUGACCUCGGAUCAGGUAGGAAUACCCGCUGAACUUAAGCAUAUCAAUAAGCGGAGGA
rnacentral:misc_RNA from 1 species